rnacentral:rRNA from 1 species
UACGUAGGCAGUGAGCGUUGUUCGGAGUUACUGGGCGUAAAGAGUGCGUAGGCGGUUGGCUAAGUUUGGUGUGAAAUCUCCCGGCUCAACUGGGAGGGUGCGCCGAAAACUGGCUGGCUGGAGUGUGGGAGAGGCUAGCGGAAUUCCUGGUGUAGCGGUGAAAUGCGUAGAUAUCAGGAGGAACACCGGUGGUGUAGACGGCUUACUGGACCACGACUGACACUGAGGCACGAAAGCGUGGGUAGCAAACAGG